rnacentral:tRNA from 1 species
GGUCGGUUAGCUCAGUUGGUUAGAGCGUGGUGCUAAUAUUGGUGGAUAUCCACCCAUGAUAUAUGGCACGCCAAGGUCGCGGGUUCGACCCCCGUACUGACCA